CCUUCCAUGUUCGUCUUCGUCAAUUUGAUUUCUAAUCUAUUAUAAUAGAAGAUUGAAGUUUAGCAUUCAAUCAUCAGUGGGUACAAGUGUUUGUCUCGUUGCUACAUAUUCUUUUACAUCAGAUUUUGAGUUUCAUUUCCUAAGAGCAUUUUUACAUUAUUUUCCUAAAUAACACGACAAAGUAAAAUAUUGUUAGUGCUGUAAUGCUUAGAGUCAUUUUUUUUUUUUUUUGCUCUUAUUUCUCAUAUUCAUCAUACAAUGCUUAGAAGCUAGCCUCGUAGCUAGUACCCACACAUUCGACCUUGGGAAACUAUGAAACAUUAUUAUUAUAUGAUUGAUAAACUCCUUCAAAGAAUAACCCCUAAUCUCAACAUGUCAUUGUUGCCUUAUUGCUUAAACAAUGUUCAUGUAGUCCUUGCAAACUCUACUCACUACCAUUUGCAGAUCCAUGUAGAUGGUUCCAUCGGUAUAUACCUACAAGAAAUGCAAGAUGGAUUCCAUUCGGAGGAGCUUGAAAAACACGCCGGCCCCUCUGGUGGUUAUUAUUACUUAUUUCCCUCCUGUAUCCUGUCUACCAAAUUCUUUUGAAUGAAUAGAUUAUAUUUUUUACAAAAAUACAUAAUCCAAUCUCCUAAAAAGA
rnacentral:lncRNA from 1 species